rnacentral:rRNA from 1 species
AUGAGGGAUAUUGCACAAUGGGCGCAAGCCUGAUGCAGCGACGCCGCGUGGGCGAUGAAGUUCUUCGGAAUGUAAAGCCCUUUUCUCGGAGACGAUCAGGACGGUACCCGAGGAAUAAGCCCCGGCUAACUACGUGCCAGCAGCCGCGGUAAUACGUAGGGGGCGAGCGUUGUCCGGAUUUACUGGGCGUAAAGCGCGUGUAGGCGGUUCUUUAAGUCCGGGGUGAAAUCCGGGGGCUUAACCCCCGAACGGCGCCGGAAACUGGAGAGCUUGAGUGUCGGAGAGGGGAGUGGAAUUCUCGGUGUAGCGGUGAAAUGCGUAGAGAUCGAGAGGAACACCCGUGGCGAAGGCGGCUCCCUGGCCGAACACUGACGCUGAGACGCGAAAGCGUGGGGAGCGAACGG